rnacentral:lncRNA from 1 species
GCCCUGAGCCACCAUUUAAGAAGCCUGGCUGCCCUGAAGCCACCGCCGGGAGAGAGAAGCCUGAGACGCCCCAGCACCCCGCAGCCCAGCCAUUUGAGACAUUCCAGCCCAGAUGCCCGGAGAAAAAGGCUUUGAGAUGAGCCCAGGCCCAGCCACCAUCUCAUGCAGCUGGUGAGAGAUCCUGAUUGAGACCCACAAUGCUGACCCCAGGCAAGAUCUGGAUUGGGGAGCCACUGUUUGGGGGUAUUUCGUUACACAGCAAUAGCUGAGCCCCCCUUGGACUCUAGGGCCCUUGAGGAGAGGGUGACCAAAGCUGACAAAUUGCCGUAAAGAGACCAUGCCCCAGCUGAGCCGCCCUCAGCAAGAGCCUUGUGGGGACUAUGACUUCCGGUUUCAGCAGCAUUUCAGGAAACGCCGGUGACAAGGCUUUGGGAAGGGUGAUGACAGUGAGGGCGGGGAUGCUUGACUCUCCAGACAGUGACGAUUCAGGCGGGAAACAGCAGCUACUUUGCUACAGGGAUCCACGAAAGUGUCCAAGGAGGAGACGAGGCCGUAGCUGAGUGCACAGUGGGCACCCGGUGGAGGGGGGUUCACGUGCAUUGUCACUUCUGCUCUCCCACCGCCCUGGGAGUCAGGCACGAUUAGAACUCCAUCUCUGGAGAGGAGGCUGGGAGAUGUAGAAUAACUCAUCCAGGACACAGCCUGUAACUCCUGGAGCUUGGAUUUGAACAAGCGCUUCGUGGAGCACAGAGAAGACUGGUAGGAUGGACAGUGGAUGAACGACGUUCUCAGUCUGUCCCCGGGAUCCGGGUCAUACACAGACCUCACACUCCACAUGCAGAGUAACAAAGCAAAGCCUCCUUUGUAAGAGAGUGACAGUACAAUGAGUUCAUGCUCGGAAGGAAGCACCAGGCAAGUCCCUGCACACAAUGGGCCCCUUAAGCAGGAGCUGAGUUCAGUGUCUCCUCUACUGCUCACAUCAUCCCUGCAAUGCGGGCUUCCUAAGCUCUCCUUUUCUCUAGGCUGCCAUUUACUGAACCACACUCUGUGCCAAGCAAGAUGCUAAAGGCUUUCUACGCACUUCUUCCUGAGCUCUCACAACAAUCCUAUUGACAGGUGCUCCAACGAUCUCCUUUUUGCUAAAGAGUUAACCGAGGCUUAGUGAGAUUGGGUGGCAUCCUUGGUCCCCAGAGAGCAUGUGGUCCUGAUUUGAACCCAGCAACGAUCCCAGGCUCGCUCGGCUCUGACCUCACUUCCGCACACCACACUCGUGGAAGCUUUUAUUGUACCCCUCAUAAGACGGAGAAACCGAGGCUCUGGGAGAGCAAAUGGCAUGGCCAAGCACCCCAGGCCAACCCUGGUGGGCAGCUUAUACUCGACUUGAAUCCUCCUGUCUGAAAUAUGCGUUCCACUCUUCCCCACAGGACCCAAUGCAGCAGUUCCGGAAGGAGGAAUUCUGGCCCCCAUUUGCCAUAGUUGGAAAGCAGAUUCAUGUUGCAUUCCCUUUGCCAAUUUGCUUGCAGCGGGUUGAUGAGGAGCAGCUCCCAGCUUGUCCCAGCCUUCAUGUGGUAGGGGCUUCCAGCAACCCCCCCGCCCCAGCAAGGUCCUCACAGCGCCCCAACACUGUGGGGCUGUCCCAGCAGUGAGGCGAUUAGCAGAAUGAUAGCAGCCAGCUGCUCGCUCCAUCUGCGAGACAGACCAGAGCUGCUUGAGUGACACACUUGCAAGCUUCGCCCACGUUCCUCUCCCGGAAUCACCGGGGCGGCC